CAAUAGCUCAGCUGGAUAGAGCGUCCGCCUCCUAAGCGGAAGGUCGGGGGUUCAAAUCCCUUUUGGC
rnacentral:tRNA from 1 species